rnacentral:rRNA from 1 species
AUCAAUAGCUAUACAACCUUUAACUUGUCCUAUCUCAUAUGCUAUCUGAAGCUAAGCAGGGUAGGGCCUGGAUAGUACUUGGACGGGAAAUAUUGAAAAACCAUGAUUUAUGUUA